rnacentral:lncRNA from 1 species
AUGAGGCCUGGAGGACAGGAAUGGACUUGCUCUCUGUACUUCAUGUACUCUCUACGUGCCUUCCGUUUCAACUGGAUGAGGUGAGGGGGAAGAGAUUUGGGAUGUUUGGAAUGGCUUUGGCGGUUGACAGAAGAUUCUCUGGCAGAAAAGAGAAUCUGGCACAGCUCCACCGUUCAGGGUCACGGGGGGGUUAGGUAUGGAGGGAGAGCGAAGUGAGUAUUGGUAAGUGGUCACUUCCUACAUCUCCACAUGCCGAGAACAUGGCUACCUUGGCAGCAAGCUCGUGGGUGCAGAAACAGAGGUCCAGUGUGUCAGUGAAUUCAUAUGAUGUUGAGUAGAAGGUGGG